rnacentral:rRNA from 1 species
CCUACGGGUGGCAGCAGUGGGGAAUAUUGCACAAUGGGGGAAACCCUGAUGCAGCGACGCCGCGUGAGUGAGGAAGUAUUUCGGUAUGUAAAGCUCUAUCAGCAGGGAAGAAAAUGACGGUACCUGACUAAGAAGCCCCGGCUAACUACGUGCCAGCAGCCGCGGUAAUACGUAGGGGGCAAGCGUUAUCCGGAUUUACUGGGUGUAAAGGGAGCGUAGACGGUUAAUCAAGUCAGGAGUGAAAACCCAGGGCUCAACCUUGGGACUGCUUUUGAAACUGAGUAGCUGGAGUGCAGGAGAGGUAAGCGGAAUUCCUAGUGUAGCGGUGAAAUGCGUAGAUAUUAGGAGGAACACCAGUGGCGAAGGCGGCUUACUGGACUGUAACUGACGUUGAGGCUCGAAAGCGUGGGGAGCAAACAGGAUUAGAUACCCUGGUAGUC